ACUUCCCUAUUUUAAAACUGCCCCUGUUUUUCUGCUAAUUACUGCCUCUUUCUGCUUCUGGACCUCAGCUUAUUGCUUACUAGCUAAAAACCUGCAGGAAAAGGGUGA